rnacentral:rRNA from 1 species
AUUGAACGCUGGCGGCAUGCUUUACACAUGCAAGUCGAACGGUAACAGGCCGCAAGGUGCUGACGAGUGGCGAACGGGUGAGUAAUGCAUCGGAACGUGCCCAGUCGUGGGGGAUAACGCAGCGAAAGCUGUGCUAAUACCGCAUACGAUCUAUGGAUGAAAGCGGGGGACCGUAAGGCCUCGCGCGAUUGGAGCGGCCGAUGUCAGAUUAGGUAGUUGGUGGGGUAAAGGGUCACCAAGCCAACGAUCUGUAGCUGGUCUGAGAGGACGACCAGCCACACUGGAGCUGGGACACGGCCCAGACUCCUACGGGAGGCAGCAGUGGGGAAUUUUGGACAAUGGGCGCAAGCCUGAUCCAGCAAUGCCGCGUGCAGGAAGAAGGCCUUCGGGUUGUAAACUGCUUUUGUACGGAACGAAAAGGUUUGGGUUAAUACCCUGGGCCGAUGACGGUACCGUAAGAAUAAGCACCGGCUAACUACGUGCCAGCAGCCGCAGUAA